AUUGAACGCUGGCGGCAUGCUUUACACAUGCAAGUCGAACGGUAACAGGCCGCAAGGUGCUGACGAGUGGCGAACGGGUGAGUAAUGCAUCGGAACGUGCCCAGUCGUGGGGGAUAACUACUCGAAAGAGUAGCUAAUACCGCAUACGAUCUAUGGAUGAAAGCGGGGGACCGUAAGGCCUCGCGCGAUUGGAGCGGCCGAUGUCAGAUUAGGUAGUUGGUGGGGUAAAGGCUCACCAAGCCAACGAUCUGUAGCUGGUCUGAGAGGACGACCAGCCACACUGGGACUGAGACACGGCCCAGACUCCUACGGGAGGCAGCAGUGGGGAAUUUUGGACAAAGGGCGCAAGCCUGAUCCAGCAAUGCCGCGUGCAGGAAGAAGGCCUUCGGGUUGUAGACUGCUUUUGUACGGAACGAAACGGCUCUGGUUAAUACCCGGGGCUAAUGACGGUACCGUAAGAAUAAGCACCGGCUAACUACGUG
rnacentral:rRNA from 1 species